rnacentral:rRNA from 1 species
CCUGGCUCGAGAUGAACGCUGGCGGCGUGCCUAACACAUGCAAGUCGAGCGAAGCGGUUUCGAUGAAGUUUUCGGAUGGAUUCGGAAUUGACUGAGCGGCGGACGGGUGAGUAACGCGUGGGUAACCUGCCUCAUACAGGGGGAUAACAGGUUAGAAAUGACUGCUAAUACCGCAUAAGCGCACGAGGACUGCAUGGUCCAGUGUAGAAAAACUCCGGUGGUAUGAGAGUGGACCUGCGUCUGUAUUAGCUAGUUGGUGGGGUAACGGCCUACCAAGGCGACGAUCAGUAGCCCGACCUGAGGAGGGUGACCGGCCACAGUUGGGACUGAGACGACCGGACCCAAACUCCGUACGGGGAGGCAGCAGGUGGGGAAUAUUGCACAAUGGGGGAAACCCUGAUGCAGCGACGCCGCGUGAGUGAAGAAGUAUUUCGGUAUGUAAAGCUCUAUCAGCAGGGAAGAAAAUGACGGUACCUGACUAAGAAGCCCCGGCUAACUACGUGCCAGCAGCCGCGGUAA